CUCUUGGUUAGGACUCAUUUCUUAACCUUGUGUUAGAUGGUCUUGCAGAUGGGAGAUAUAAGGGGUGGAGUGUGUGGCUAACCCCUUUGUUUUGCAGGAUUGGAGUUUGGAAUUUUUGUGAUUAUUUCCUGUAAUUUUGAAGCGGUGUUUGCAUAUUAUUUGUUGUGCAUGAUUAAUUGCUUUAGCACUACACCACACAAUAACCCGUGGCUGGACCCGGGCCACUAGUUUUAGGAUGGUAUUGAGAUUGGUUCUAGCGUUCACCGUGGGAUCAUGGUCGAAAGUUAGUCCAAAUUCAAUCCCGAAUCUUUUUCCAAAAAUGAGUUUCAAAAAUUAGAACUCAUGCCCGGUAGGAUUACCGAAGCAAGAGUUAUGAUUUUUAACUCGAGAAGCCGAAGUGAAAUGACCCGGCUAAUCCCGGUUAUAUCGUAGGAUUACGAUUAAUCUUGAUUAUGUGCGCGAGAUUGUCGCCUUGCCGCAAGUCUUUCGCUUCAAUUUGUCAGCCUCUAGGAUAGAUAGAAUAAGGUUAACUCACGAAUCAUGUGCAUGUCCAUGUGAUUUACAUAGUAC